UAUACUACGGUUUUACUUGUGACCCUUCUGUACCACUUUAUUAUCUUUGGCAUGGUGAUUAUUAAAAAGAAAAGACAAUUCAACUAAUUCUACACAGCAAAGGUGUGCAUCUACAGUUGCCUGCGGCUCUGAGACAGACAUGAACAGUCACAUGAUUCCUGACUGGACUGAGGCCAGUCCUAAUGGCAGAGCAGCAGGGGACUUCAUUCACACUCCGAGUAAUAGCAGGGGAAAUCCCAUGAGGCACUGGGGGAACAAAAGUGGAAAAACAUGUCAUGGCUGUUUGCAUGGCUUUUGAAGGUAUGGAAUUCAACAUGGACAUUUUUGUUUUGCUGUUGCAGUCUUGUCAGCC